AUAAAGAAGAAUGAAAUCAUGACUGUUCCAGCAACAUGGAUGGAACUGAAGACCACUAUCUUAGGUGAAAUAACUCAGAAACAAAGUCAAAUACUGCAUGCUCUCCCUUAUAUGUGGGAGCUAAAUAACGUGUACAGACAGACAGAGAGGGGAAUAACAGACAUUGGAGACUGGAAGGGUGGGAGGGUGGCAGGGAGGGAUGAGAAAUUACUUCAUGGGCAGAAUGUACACUACUCAGUAAUGGUAACACUAAAGCCCAGACUCUUCCACCAUAUGCUAUGUCCAUGUAACAAAACUGCAUGUGUACCCUGUAAUUUUAUAAAUGUUGUUAAGCUGAAAAGGUGUGUGUAUGUGAACACAGUAAACAUGUAAGUAUAAACAC
rnacentral:lncRNA from 1 species